AACAAGGAAAAAUAGUUUAUUUUUAUAGCCGACCUCGGAAAGGGCUAGCAUCUGCUCAAAGCGGAGGUGCUGCACACGACUGCCAGGCCAGUGUCUUGGGCAGACAAGAUGCCCUUCGCAAAGCUGUGCACGCUGGCAAGUUUUUCUGGAUAAAGUCCGAAGUUUCCAUCAGCUUCCCCGCGGGCAGCUUAUCGUCCAAAAGGUUAAAAACGCACUAAUUAAGGAAAGCGGGAAGCUGGCCUUUCACCUUUCCCGUGCUCGGCAGCCUGAGCAGCUCCUCCAGGCUUUGUCUCUCAGGCCAGUCCGGCGAGGGCCAUGAAAGGCUAACAUUAACCAGAAGCCUUAAUCUGGGGCAGCUGGAGGCCCAUUUGGGUCACUUUUGGGACUCACGAUACUCUCCGGGUUCUCAGGAGCCCCCGACAGAGCGCCCAGGGGAAUGAAUGGGCAAUACCUCCAGCCUCCAGCUGUGGGACCUGGAGCCAGUGGUGAUGCCUCUUUGGGCCUCAGUUUCCCUUCAAAUUCGAGGACAUUUUGAGGCAUGUGUGCCUACAUCCUGGGCGUCCACGAAGAAGAAUACACUCUGUGAAGUCCCACCUUGCAUCAAGAUUUCUUGAAAGCAAAGAAGAAAGAAGCACUGAAGGAGGAGACUUUGCAAUGUCUUUGCUCAAAACAAAGACAAGGAGCCCAACCGUGACCUCCUCAGAGGGCCCCAGCAGGCUUGGGGCUCCGGCCCAGCCGUGUGAGCUGGCCUCGGGCUCCUCCGCAGCAGAGCAGGGACCGGAGUGAAGAAGCUGGGCCCAGAGAGGUUAAGCAACCCACCCAGAAGUGCACAGCACAGUAGCAAGGGAUGGAAAGCCUGGACUCAAAUUCAGGGCUUCAGACUCCAAAUUCCUCCCAGUUUGUGCUACGCACAAGCAGCUUAUUAUACAGGCUCACCCCCUCCCCCCAUCCAAGGUACCCGACAGGGAUGCUGGCGUCGCGGGAAUGCAGCUCGCGCCACUUGGUCGCCUCAGAGCGGACUACGCAGGCCACGCGGGCUGAGAUGCAGGGAAGUGACGGGGCAGGUACCCCACGCCAGCCCACCCUCGCCGACACCUUGGGGUGCAUCGCCCGCAGGUCCUCAUCCCCUCAUCUCUCGCGCGCCGCGCUCCUGUCAUCCUGUCGCGCAGCGCUGGGAGGCGGUACUGCCCCUUGGCGCCCCCAAAUUUGCUCCCAUCCCCACUCCUCCCUGCCUCCCAAGAUCCGUAAAGCAUCAGCCUUUCCGCCGCCCCUAACGAGCCG
ensembl:lncRNA